CAAGAUCCAUCACUAAGCCGUUUGGAAAUGACGUAACACACGCAAGAGCUGAUGAGAACUUCUCGUGAUAACUGUGAAGCGUGAUUGGUUGUGGUGUGUCAUGUGGCUUGACUGACCAAUUGAACGCAUGUUGCUCUGGAAAGAUCUAGAUGCAAGCUCAGCGCUUUUAGACGACGGGACGACCUAGGUAAUUAGCCAAGGCAUCAUCCCCAGUGUCGUGUGCAUUGAUGUAAUCCAGGCUUGACAGGCGCUCACCCGAAAAUCGCCAGGCAUUGUACAGGCAUGUUUCAACUUAGACUGCCAUCACGAGAGGAAAAUUAAUGGCAUACAUUUUUACCCUUCUUGCCUUCCUCCAUUACCGGUCGUCACCGCCAUUGGCGGGAGGCUACAGGCCAAGACGUGAAUGGAUUUCACCCUACAAGUGUUCUUAGUGUGAAUGGAGAGUGUUUUGACAUUGCCCAUUGCCCAUGCGGGGACUUGAAUAGCUCGCGUGUUGUGAUGAUCUAGUCGGCGUUGAAGCAAAUUUUGCUGGUCAGAAUAAAACAUCACAGACAUUGGAGACAUGUAAUAGGGUUAGGCCUGUCAUAACCCUGACGGGGACAGAAAGAUGCAGCGCAUCAUUCCAGCGAGAGAUGAAAUUUCCGGCCACGCCGAUGCUCUCCCUUUCCUGUUGCAGUUGCGUGACUAAGGGAGUUAUGUUCUGAGCCUAACCACACUACAGUGCUGCUGGAUUUGUUUACAGUGAGUAUUAAAACUUCCUGCAGUCAGAUCGCAGUGCACCCCACUGUACACAGUCACACGGGACAGACAAACCCAGAGUGUUACAUAUGGACUUGGGAUACAAAGGUCUUGUAUGUCUAAUGUGAAAGUAGGAGAUUGAGCCGACACUUUGUCAGCCAGGGUCUUCAACACGAUGACCCUCA